rnacentral:rRNA from 1 species
AAUCCAUAGGUUAAUGAGGCGAACCGGGGGAACUGAAACAUCUAAGUACCCCGAGGAAAAGAAAUCAACCGAGAUUCCCCCAGUAGCGGCGAGCGAACGGGGAGGAGCCCAGAGCCUGAAUCAGCAUGUGUGUUAGUGGAAGCGUCUGGAAAGGCGCGCGAUACAGGGUGACAGCCCCGUACACAAAAGCGCAUGUGCUGUGAGCUCGAUGAGUAGGGCGGGACACGUGGUAUCCUGUCUGAAUAUGGGGGGACCAUCCUCCAAGGCUAAAUACUCCUGACUGACCGAUAGUGAACCAGUACCGUGAGGGAAAGGCGAAAAGAACCCCGGCGAGGGGAGUGAAAAAGAACCUGAAACCGUGUACGUACAAGCAGUGGGAGCACCCUUUGGGUGUGACUGCGUACCUUUUGUAUAAUGGGUCAGCGACUUAUAUUCUGUAGCAAGGUUAACCGAAUAGGGGAGCCGGAGGGAAACCGAGUCUUAACCGGGCGUUAAGUUGCAGGGUAUAGACCCGAAACCCGGUGAUCUAGCCAUGGGCAGGUUGAAGGUUGGGUAACACUAACUGGAGGACCGAACCGACUAAUGUUGAAAAAUUAGCGGAUGACCUGUGGCUGGGGGUGAAAGGCCAAUCAAACCGGGAGAUAGCUGGUUCUCCCCGAAAGCUAUUUAGGUAGCGCCUCGUGAAUUCAUCUCCGGGGGUAGAGCACUGUUUCGGCUAGGGGGCCAUCCCGGCUUACCAACCCGAUGCAAACUGCGAAUACCGGAGAAUGUUAUCACGGGAGACACACGGCGGGUGCUAACGUCCGUCGUGAAGAGGGAAACAACCCAGACCGCCAGCUAAGGUCCCAAAGUCAUGGUUAAGUGGGAAACGAUGUGGGAAGGCCCAGACAGCCAGGAUGUUGGCUUAGAAGCAGCCAUCAUUUAAAGAAAGCGUAAUAGCUCACUGGUCGAGUCGGCCUGCGCGGAAGAUGUAACGGGGCUAAACCAUGCACC